UACGAAGGGGGCUAGCGUUGUUCGGAAUUACUGGGCGUAAAGCGCUCGCAGGCGGAUCGAUAAGUCAGGGGUGAAAUCCCGGGGCUCAACCUCGGAAUUGCCUUUGAUACUGUCAAUCUCGAGUCCGGGAGAGGUGAGUGGAAUUCCUAGUGUAGAGGUGAAAUUCGUAGAUAUUAGGAAGAACACCAGUGGCGAAGGCGGCUCACUGGCCCGGAACUGACGCUGAGGCACGAAAGCGUGGGGAGCAAACAGG
rnacentral:rRNA from 1 species